UACGUAGGGGGCAAGCGUUGUCCGGAUUCAUUGGGCGUAAAGCGCACGUAGGCGGAUUCUUAAGUCGGUGGUGAAAUCCUGGAGCUCAACUCCAGAACUGCCUUCGAUACUGAGAGUCUUGAGUUCGGGAGAGGUGAGUGGAACUGCGAGUGUAGAGGUGAAAUUCGUAGAUAUUCGCAAGAACACCAGUGGCGAAGGCGGCUCACUGGCCCGAUACUGACGCUGAGGUGCGAAAGCGUGGGGAGCAAACAGG
rnacentral:rRNA from 1 species